UACGUAGGGUGCGAGCGUUGUCCGGAAUUAUUGGGCGUAAAGGGCUCGUAGGCGGUUUGUCGCGUCGGGAGUGAAAACUCAGGGCUUAACCCUGAGCCUGCUUCCGAUACGGGCAGACUAGAGUGAUGUAGGGGAGACUGGAAUUCCUGGUGUAGCGGUGAAAUGCGCAGAUAUCAGGAGGAACACCGAUGGCGAAGGCAGGUCUCUGGGCAUUAACUGACGCUGAGGAGCGAAAGCAUGGGGAGCGAACAGG
rnacentral:rRNA from 1 species